AAUUUUGAAAUCUUGCAGAAACCAGAAUUUGCAUUAUGAAAGUAAAUUAAAGAUAUCAAAUGACCUUGAGAUCAUUAACUUAAACAACCAAAAAAUCAAACCAUCAAAGUUAAAACUCAAUUAUAUUCGUACGGUUUUAAAUAAAGAUGUAUCUCCAAAAUGUCAAAUUAAGUGGGAGGAAAUAUUUGGAACAAAUAUACCUUGGGAAAAUAUGUGGUCGGGAUUAAAAUAUUUGAAAAUUGAAAAUAAAGUAAAAGAAUUCCAAUGGAGAUCCUUGCACAAUAUUUUAUAUACUGAAGAAAGAUUAAAAAAAAUGAAGAUAUCAAAUGGAAAAUGCCACAUUUGUCAAAAUGACAAUAAUAUAGAAACCCUGCAACACUUAUUUUUCAGUUGUAGUACAUCACAGUUAAUUUUAAAAAAACCUCCAAGAAAUACUUAUCAAAUCAAACAUAGGAAUAAACAAUCCUUUUGGUGAAAAGGACGUU
rnacentral:lncRNA from 1 species